UUUUUUUUUAAUUUUAUGGCCUGGGGGUCUAGCCAUAUUGGUGUCGAAAAGUAUUCUACAUACACUACCGCUUUUGCGUAAUUGUACUGUCGAAAACGCUUCGUUCGUAGCCAAGAGGCAUGUCGAUACAUUACCGCAAAGUCGACAGCGUAGAUGCGAGCUGCUGUUCGUAGCACCUUAUUCCGUCAUAUUGUCUCUGGAUUAAAUGUAUUCCUAAUGUCACUUUUAUAAACAAAUAAAAGUUAAAACUUUACAAUAUUAUUGUAAAUUUGCAAUUGGAAGCUGCAAAAGGGACAUUAGAAUGUCAGCAAGGUCGGAACAAUUUUCGAUUUAAGUGGAAUUUACGGAAGGUGCAAAGUGAAUAUAUGAAUUUAAUUGCAUGUUUAAAUUAAUUAUGGAUUUGACCUCACAACUAAUCUGCAAAAUGAA